rnacentral:lncRNA from 1 species
CCGGAUUCCGGUAGUGGAAGUUGCUAAGGAAUUGCCUGUAGAGCUAGCAACCAGAGAGCCAUUUAAGGUUACUACUGUAAACAAAAAGCACAUUUUGCUUAUGUUGAAACAGUACUUCCAACUCUCUUGGAGCACCAAUUCAUCUCACCGACACCUGCCAUGAAUAAAAGAAGGUGAUGUUACCUGAUUUGGUCUUCAACAAAAGUAGGUGUUAGUAGGUAGUAAAUGAAUUACAUUUGUACGUCUCCUCAUAUUUAGUUUGAGCAUGCAUGCCUAAAUCCAAACUUCCCAUGAGUUGUUUCAUGUGUACAUGCUUUUCAAAUGUUAAAAUAAAGCUUAAUGCUAGAAUCAUAAUAAGAUUAGUAGAUUACACAACAGUAUGAUGGUUAUCAUGCUUGCCUUAGUUAUACAUUAGACAUGCCAUGCACACAUCAUUAAUAGUUGAGAUCAUUGUCCUUGAUAGUGUUUUUUGCAAGUUGAGUGCACUCCAUGAGAAUCAUCGACGUGUUCUUAUGACUGCUAUGGAUGUUGUAAACUUGUAAUUAUAUAGAAACAUUUCUUUCUACAUCUGAAUUUGCUAGAAUCUAUCAUAAAAUGCAUUUCAACCACUCAUUUUCACAUGGUUCCUUGUGUCAUAUGUCUACUUUAAUUUUAAAUUUAUUUAUAUGGGGAGCGUCCAUCAUUCUGGCUUGUCAUUGGACCCUUAAGUGUCAUACAAUUGUUAUAUUAUACUAUCAAAUAUGAUUGAUAUAUCGUCGCAACACACGAGCAUUGUACUAUAUAUGCACUACCUAUGAAGAGGCUAAUGUAGACCGCCGUGAUACCGUGCCCCCACUCGGAUGCCUCUUCCCAUGCCCGCCCCUCACCUCCCCCGGUGAGACAGCCUCCUUUCUCGCUAGCCCCAGCGCGCCAUCACCGUGAGGCCCCGCCUUCCUCUCUGAUCCCCUCUUCGAGACACCACCCCCACGCACGCGCCCGCCACGCAAUGCCCCCUCUGCUAUCCAACCCCGCCGGUGUCAAGGUCGCCCGCUCCUUCUCCACCGCCUUCUGCGUGUCGGAGCCAGUCCAGUACAGGGGCAGAGCUAGAGAUUUUUGUUAAUGGGUUUAGGAUUCAGGAAUAUACGUAUAACUAGAAAUCAUAAUAUUACCACAUAUAGCUAUUAUAUAAAUUAAAGGGUGAAAACAUAAUAGCUAAGGGGGAUGGCGGUCAUUUCGGCGGACCGUUCGGCGGUCAUUUCGGCGGACCGUUCGGCUCCCCGCCCUCCCGCCUUCCCUGCAUGCCCUUCCGCCUCCCCCGCCCAUCGCUCCGUCAACGGCGGCCGCCCCACCCUCCCCGCACCACCUAGCCACUCGCCGGCGCUCACCCCGACUCCGGCGACCACUUCCUCCUCCCCCUCCCGUGUGGCGACUUUGUCUCCCGCCGCGGCUUGUCCGUUCUCCCCCGCUGGGCGUUCCAAGGCGCAGCGGUGGGCGUCUUCUUGCCUCACCAGCCCGUCCUCUUCGGCCUUGGGCGUUGGUGCCGUUGGAAGCGGUGCCUCGCAGAGGACUUUCAAGGACGUGCUGCUGCUCCCUCCGCCCCUGCCGUCUGCCCGGCAGUCCCUCCCUCGACCUCCGCACAGACCGAAGUUUGCGGUGGUGCAACGUCCUGGAACGGUGCGCAGGCCUGUUCCUGACCGGGAGGGCUGGGUUAGGGUCGAACCUCGUCGACGUCAACUCCCCCCUUCGCCACCUUCCCGUCGAUCGAUCCCUGAGGAUCUCCGGGGUAGGUGUUUUAACUGUCUGGCCUCCUCUCAUCGGGCGGCGGACUGCCGACGUUUGGUGCGCUGCUUCAAGUGUUGGGGGUUCGGACAUCGUGCAGUUCAGUGCAAGGUUCGUGCUGCGCAGGUGAUCAAAGCUUCAGUUUCGGUGUGGGAUCGCCUUGGCCCUAAGCUGGUUCACAAGCCUUUGGACUCUCCUAAACGCGCCAUGGAGUGGCGCAGGGUCUCUUCGCCGAUCCCGGCCAUCCAGAGGUCCGGUGUGGCUGAUCCUCCCUUGGGUGGCACGAAGAAACGCCGCCAUCGUACGCGGGGUCGAAGGCCUAAGACCGCCCCCGUUGCACCUUUGGAGGAAUCCAGUGAUGUUGCACCUCCACCCGGUUCCUCUUCCCUAGAGCCGGUCAGGGUGCAUGCCCCUCAACCGGUUGUUCCUGAUAUGGUGGAUGCCACACAUCUCUGCAUUUUGGAUCGUGCGGAUGCGCUUGCUAGAGAAGAACUGCGGUUGCGACGGUGUGCUCUGUUCGUUGUUGUCACUGGUUCAAGACCGAGGGUGGCUGCUGAGACUCUUGCUGAUGAGGUGGCUGCUGGUUUCGGGCUGGAUGCGUCGUCCUUCUCCGUUCAUCGUUCGUACCCAGAAGAUUUUGUCUUAAUCCUGAAUUCGGAAGAGUUGGCCAAUCAGGUGUACAACAAUGGUGCUGUUUUCAAUUCUCUUUCUGGGUCUUUCAAGUUCCUGAGAUGGUCUAGACUUGCUCAUGCCGAGGUGGUGGCCUUUCCAUCUCCUGUUCUUGUGGAGUUCAAAGGGAUUCCAAUUCAUGCUUGGGAUUUGGCUACUGCUCAGAAUUUGUUGAGGGAUCACUGCACUGAUGUGGAGCUCCAUCCUGACACGGUGAAUAGACACGACUUCUCUUCCUUCAAGGUUUUUGGAUGGUGCCGACGUCCACACCUCAUUCCAAAUUUGGUGGAGCUCCUUGUUCCGGAACCGUUGAUGAUGACGUCUGGCUCUACCUCUCUUGAGAGAAGAUUGCUCGCUUACCAAGUGACUGCCCUUGUGUCUCUGAUCUCUCCGCCGGUGCAUAGCGCUGCUGCACCUCCGUCGCCGGCGUUUGAUGAUGAUCAGGACAACGGGCCUCGUCGGCGCAGGCUCAACAGUUCAGUUCAGAUGGGGCAUGCUGGGUCCGGGGAAGCACUUGCAGCGCGAAGGCCCGUCCGUGAAAGGCUGGGUGUUGCCCCGGUCUCUGUUCGACAUGUGGAGGCUGGAUUGUCCGUGAAAGACUCGGCGCCUUCCGUUGCCUUGGUUACUGGGGACACGCAUACUGAUGUUGUGGAGCCGGUGAUUGGCUGCAUGGAUGAUGGGUUGAGUCUGCCCCUGGAGAAUGUUCAUGGGCCUGGCACUGAGACUUUGGAGAUUCCAGGUGCUUGCGAUGGCCCGGGUGGUGAAGUCUUCUUGUCCAUGACUGAUGUUGACGUGGACUCUUCUGUUCUGGCGGUGGAAACUUUGAGUGCUUUUUCAUCCCCCUCCCCCUCGAGUGGCCCUGCCAUCGCUACCCGUGUGGGGACUGUGUUGAAGCCGUCCAUGAAGGCUGUUGGGGCAGGGCUCAGGAGGUGGCCGUGUUCCCCAAUCAAAUAUUUCAGAAGGAAGUGCAGAGGGGCUGCUGCUUCACAAUCCCCUCUCUCGGCUGCUCAGUCUGCGACCACUGCUGAUUUCAUCGCUAGGGUGUCCAGGCCGGCCGCUCGGGUCCUGUGUGGGCCGCAGAAGCUGAAGUGGCAGCGUCGCCCCAGGGCACCUUGUGAGGGGGCUCUACCUCGGCGGAGCAGGCGCUUGGCUGGAGCAGAUGUUGAAAAGGUAAUGGCCCCAGCACAAGUUUCGAAAGGAAAAUGGAGGAUUGCUAAUGAGCUCGGUCUUCUUGGUGGGGAUCCAUCUGAAUCGCUAUCCCUGGAGGUUCUCGAUAACUAUGCCAAGGUCUUCGGUGAGCGGCUGACUGAUCUGCAAGUUAAAGCUCUUGCGGCUCUCUUCAACUGGACUGUCCCAGAAGACUUGCAGGGUGCAGUGGUGCAGGCCUGAUCGCCUCUGUGUGUGUUGAUGGUCGUUUUUCAUUGUUUUUCCAAAUGGAUCCGUCAAAAAUUGUGUGCUGGAACGUGCGGGGUCUUAAUGGCUCGGCCCGUCAGGAUGUUGUUCGUUGUUUGGUGGACUCAGUCAAGGCUGAUGUUGUUUGCCUCCAGGAAACAAAAAUGUCGGUUUUCUCUCGUUUGUUUGUGUUCCGGUUGCUUGGGUCUGAGUUUCAGAAUUUUGUUUUCACACCUUCAGUUGGGGCUAGUGGAGGGAUUCUAGUGGCUUGGAAGAAUAAUAUCAGCUCAUGUGGCUCUAGGAUUGAUGACCAUUGUGUCUCGGUGAAUUUUAGCCUUGAGACUGGGUCAUCUUGGUGGUUGUCAUGUGUCUAUGCCCCUCAAGGGAAUCAUGAGAAAAUUCAGUUCUUACAAGACCUCAGGUUGAUUAGGACCCACUGUUCUGGGCCCUGGCUGGUUGUUGGCGAUUUUAACAUGAUUCUGUGUGAUGAAGACAAGAGUAAUUCCAAUGUUGAUCGUGCUAUGAUGGGCAGAUUUCGAAGGUGGAAGGACGAUCUUGCCCUCCUGGAGCUUCCUCUGAUUGGGCGCAUGUUUACUUGGUCGAAUGGGCAUGCCUGCCCUACUUUAGUCAGAUUGGACAGGAUGUUUUGUACUGCUGAUUGGGAAGAUUUAUUUCCAGAUUGCCUUCUCCAGAGUGCUGCUACUCAAAAUUCGGAUCACUGCCCUCUCUUGUUGGGCCUGUGUGAUAUUAAUAAAAGGAAAGGGCGCUUCCAUUUUCAGACCUUCUGGGUAAAAUUGGAGGAUUUCCAGGAUGUUGUGGCUAACGCUUGGAGUUCGAUUCCCGCAGGCCAGUGCCCUCUUGUUAGUCUUUCCAAGAAAUUACAGGCUACGGCAAAGGCUUUGCAGCGUUGGAGUGAUAAUAAAGUGGGGGAUUUAAAACUACAGCUUGAAAUGGCUCGGGAGCUCCUUCAUAGACUGGAGAUGGCUCAUGACAGCAGAACUCUAUCUCCAAGUGAGGAUUGGUUAAGGCGUACCCUUAAGAAGCACAUCUUGGUGCUCUCCUCCUUGUCGAGAUCUAUAGCCCGUCUUCGGUCCAGAAUUAAUUGGUUGAAAGAAGGGGACGCUCAUACUUCCCUGUUCCAUGCUCAGGCUAGAAUAAGAAAGAAGAAGAAUUUUAUUGGCUCGUUAUCUACAAGUGAAGGGCUUAUUUUGACAUCACAUGAGGAUAAGGCUGAUGAGUUGUUCCAUUUCUAUGAUGCCCUGCUCGGGACUGCUUUGGGGAGAGAAAAUUCUCUUAAUCUUGAUGCCCUGGAGAUGCCUUCUUUCAAUCUCAAUGAGCUAGAUGUGCCUUUCUUAGAGGAAGAAGUUUGGGGUACUGUAAAAUCUAUGCCGUCGGAUAAAGCUCCGGGCCCGGAUGGUUUCACCGGCCGUUUCUACAAGGUUUGUUGGGUAACAAUCAAAGCUGAUGUUAUGGCAGCGAUCUCUUGUGUUUGGGCUCGGAAAUUUAGGAACAUGGGGCUGCUCAAUUCAGCGUUUAUCACUCUUCUGCCUAAGGUUGAGGGUGCAACCCAAGUGAAAGACUUUCGUCCGAUCAGCCUUGUCCACAGUUUCGCAAAGUUAGUAACAAAGAUGAUGGCCAACAGAUUGGCUCGGCAUUUGAAUGAUAUGGUCUCUCCGAAUCAAACAGCGUUCAUUAAGAAAAGAUUUAUCUUAGACAAUUUCAUGCUUGUGCAGCACACUGCAAGGUUUCUUCAUCGUCAAAGGCAAGCCCGCAUUCUUUUCAAGCUCGACAUUUCUAAAGCUUUUGAUUCGGUAUCUUGGGCUUUCUUGCUAGAAGUCUUGCAGAAGUUGGGUUUUGGGCAGAUCUGGCGUGACAUCAUUUGUGGGCUGCUAGCCUCUUCUUCGACGAGAAUUUUAUUAAAUGGUGUUCCCGGGGACUACAUUGCUCACCAGCGGGGUCUUCGGCAGGGGGACCCUUUAUCUCCAAUGUUGUUCAUCUUAGUCAUGGACACUCUCAACUUGCUGAUCCAGAGGGCAUCUGAUGAAGGGCUGCUUCACUCUCUUUCCACGAACAGUCUGCAGCACCGAUUCUCUUUAUACGCGGAUGAUGCAGUGGUUUUCCUCAAGCCGGUGCCUUCAGACAUAAAUCUGAUUCUGGAAAUCCUUCGGAUUUUUGGGGAUGAGUCCGGUCUAAAGACCAACGUUCAGAAGAGUAAUGUUUUUCCUAUCCGAUGUUCUGAGGCGGAUCUUGCUUGUGUUCAGGAGCUCCUUCCAUGUUCCAUUUCGGAAUUUCCCUGUCAGUACCUUGGCCUCCCGCUUUCUCUUGGAAAGCUUAAGAGAAGUCAAAUUCAAGCAAUUGUCGAUAAAACUGCAGCACAGUUACCUGGGUGGAAAGCUGAUCUGAUGACAAAGGCCGGUAGAGCCAUUUAUGUUCAAUUUGUGAUGACAUCAAGAAUGAUUUAUGCUGCUCUGGCGUUGGACAUCCCUUCUUGGGCUUUUAAAGCAAUUGAUAAGCUUCGACGAGGCUUUCUGUGGAGAGGGAGAAAGGAGGUGAAUGGUGGCCAUUGUCUGCUGACUUGGCCCAAAGUCACUAGACCCAAGGACCUGAGGGGUCUGGGUAUUAGUGAUCUUCGGAUCAUGAGCUGGGCACUGCGGGCUAGGUGGCCUUGGCUGCAAAAAUCUGAUAGGACUAAGCCAUGGUCGGACUUCCAGAUUCAAACCUGCGACAUUGUGCAAAGCUUGUUGGCUGCGGCUGUUAUCACUCAUUUGGGAGAUGGGUCUGAUACUCUAUUUUGGAAGGAUCGUUGGCUGAAUGGCAAAUGUAUUAAGGAGGUGGCACCUGCUGUCUUCGGUAUGGUGCCCAAGCGUAUUGCUUCUAGACGCCUGGUCAAGGAUGCCUUGCCUGAUCUCAAUUGGUUGGCUGAUCUGAGAGGGGCUAUUUCUGUUGCAGCCCUUGCUAAUCUCAUGGACCUUUGUGACUUACUCGAGGGGAUGGUUCUGCAGCCGGAUGUUCCUGAUGUGCAUACCUGGAGGUUUAGUGAAUCGGGUGAAUACUCGGCUAGUUCAGCUUACAGGGCUUUGCUUCUUGGCUCUGUUAGCUUUGAGCCUGCUGAACGCAUUUGGAAAUCCUGGGCUCCAGGAAAGUGUAAAUUCUUCCUCUGGCUUGUGGAGCACGAUAGAUGUUGGACGGCUGACAGACUUGCUAAGCGUGGCCUGGAUCACCCAGUGUCCUGCCCUUUAUGCGACCAGAUGGAAGAAACUAUCAACCAUUUGCUGGUUCAGUGCAGUUUUGCAAAACAGUUUUGGUUCAGCCUUCUGCGGUCGGGUGGUUUCCAGGAGCUCUGCCCUUCCCAUGAUGACGUCUGUUUUGAAACCUGGUGGAGGAAUAGUGCUGCCAGGGUGGGCAUGCCUUUAUCCAAGGGAUUCAAUUCUCUUGUCAUUUUGGGUGCAUGGACUUUGUGGAAGCAUAGAAAUAGGUGUGUUUUUGAUAACUGUAACCCUAGCGUUGCGGUGGUGUUGGCAGCUGCAAGGGAGGAGUUGAUGGGUUGGCGUAUGGCUGGAGCCAAAGCGCUCUCUUUCUUUCAUUUAGAAGAGGUGUCUUAGGUGUCUUAGUUGUUUGGGGUGUGUUUUUUGGUUUUGGUUUGCCAAAUGUAACACCUUUGUACUGGGGUUUUUUCUCCCCAUUUUAUUCUUCUUCUUCUUAAUACAAAAAUACGCAGCUCUCCUGCGUAUUCAAGAAAAAAAAACAUAAUAGCUAAAUAGAAUCCUGCAAUCAUAUGGUUGCAUGUUUCAAAAAAGCACUUUGAUGUUGUGCAAUGUAUAUGUAGUUUCCUCAUUUCUGAUAUAAUUAAACAAAAAACAUGUUACUUUCACAAGUUUUGAACAUUUGAUCAUGCACAAUUAAUUGAAAACUAUAUAUACUCACAUGUUAAAGCUUCCCACUUCAAAAUUUCAUCUUCUUAAAAAGAUCAAUCACCUCAUCAUUACUAAUGGUUGAAAACAUAUCUUUCUCCACAUAGCAUAUUAGGCAAUCUGUGGCAGAACCUCCCAAGUUAUUGGGCCCACAUGCACCUGUCCUUGUCCCAAAGACCUCAGACGGCUGUGCAUGUGCACCAGAUAACUUAACAGGAUCUGUCUGAUUGCCCCAAGGACAUCGGAUAAACCACUUACAACCAGAACCGCGGGAUUAAGUAACACAAAUCACACACACCAAUAUUUUUGCAGCGGAAAUACUAUUACCAAAUUUUACAAGUUACAAAAAUUUUAUAUUAUUUUAUCGGAGUGAUUACAAAAGUAUAAGUUGAAAUAUAUGCUAGCUCAAAUGACCAUCCUCGAUAAGAAGUAUAGAAGGAGUACUUAGACUUAUAAGAAGGCCGAGCCCAUCGGCACUUAACACCAUCAACAACAUCACAAAGUUAGGACCUGAAAAACAACAGGGAAUAAAACCCUGAGUAUGGAAUUACUCAGCAAGACUUACCCGACUAAAGAAAAGACUCUCAAGGGUAUGCUGGCUUAAGGGAGUCAAGGUAUGGUUUAUCAAGAAUCAAAGACUCUGUUUUGCAGAAAUGCUUACUAAUAAUGGAUCCUUAAAAAUCCAGUUUUAUUGUCAGGUUAAGUAAAAUAACCUGCAACUAGAGUUCUUUCUACCCUAGUUCAAUCACUUGACCUGCACUAGCCAAUUUCUCAACAAAAACCCUUUAUCUUUAGUGGAAUGCUACGUGUAAGUCAGUGGCCAAGUCUCCAUAACCGCGGAGGUACGGCGAUCCGAAUCGAUUAUACUCAGCUGAGGAUCUCCAAUCACACGACAUAUGUAGCACUUAACCCUUGCAUAUGUCAACCCGCCACCGGGGUUCUUAAGACCGGAUCAGGUUCACGCAAACCGAGAGCACAGCUACACCACCGUCCAGCCUCUUGCCACGGAGGGUACACGCUACUCUCGCCACCGCUCCACGCCCAUUUCGUGUUAUCUUAUUCCGGCCUUAGUCUACCCGAGGCAAGGCUUACCCAUGACGAGGCAUGUGACCAGUUAAAGGGUCCUCGGUCAGCAGGCCUACAUCGACAAGGUCCUUAAUCGACUCAGACGGAGACACUACACCGAGACUCUCUUCUCGUGCAAGUCACCCGCCCGGUCUCAGCUUAAUCAUUUAACCCAAAAACUUGGUACCUGGCAGAGGUACAUCUUUUCCGAUGUUGAAUCCAUAACGGCCAUGAUGGAUCCACCAUCAAGUUUUAUUUUCGAAAACAUCCCUCCCACUUUUGCCACAACAUUUUUUUGUAAAAACAAAACCUUUUGUUUUUCUAAAGCAAAGCUAAGCAUCAAAAAGCUUUUGUAAAACAGGCGAUUAAGGAAGGUAAUCAGAUUCAAAGAAGGUAAUGCAGGAAUGGUUUUAGCAAUCAACUCCUAUCACCUAAUGCAUCAAGCAAGUGAGAAAGAUUUUAAAAGUAUCAAGGGAGGUGGCAAAUGCACCGGGGCUUGCCUGAGUAACACUAGGUUAGUGUUGGUUAGGCGAUGAGCACUUGACGACCAUUCUUUGUCUUGGCACUUGUCAGGUCAUCCAUCCAUGCGUUCGUCCUUCAGCUUCACCAUGCGGAGUAGCCCGCGCUUGGGGUCGACUUGGCUUGUCUUCCGCAUCGCGCGAUUAAUUAUCGUACCUAAAUGAUUUGCAUAAUGCACAUGAAUGCAUAAGAACGGGAAUAUUAUAAACCUAAAUAGUGUUAUACGAUAGUGUAUUAAACACCUAGUGGCGAGGCGUUGUACAAUCUUACACGGAAACACUAGUUAUUAAUAUACGACUACGCGCUAUAAUUACGCUUCCUAAAUUAAACGAACCUAACACAAACAUUACAAACAACAAAUCAUACACUUUAAACAUAAUUAGCCUAAACACAACUCAUUAGUUACUUAAUUAAAUGCUAAAUUUAUCUCUCGCUUUAUAAAUUAUAUCACUUUGCUCACCAAAAACUAAUUUAAUUUUAUUUUGCAUCACACAUAUUUAUUUAAUCUAUCUAACAAUUCGGCUAACAACUUGCGCGCCAAUAAUAAAUUUAGCUUAGAUUUACUACUUUGAUUAACGAAUAUGAAUCCAAAUUUUUUGUCAAUUACAUGUUAAAUACCGUACUAAUAUUAAUUUACUCGAAACUAAUAACCCAAGCAAACUACCUAGAACGUAAUAACUAUUAUAACACAAGGAAUCAGCAACACGUAUGACUACCGAUUAAAUCACCGUACACGAUUCAAGUAGUCUAAUAAAUAUUAUAUUUAGUCGACUGGAAUAACAAAUCCACUUACCGUCCAUUAAAUCUGACUUAAAGCUUGCGAGAACGUCGACAGUCUUCGAAUAAAAUCUUUGAUCGAACCCUUGGCGAGCGUUAAACUGAGCUUCACUUCGACGACAACCAGAUCGAUAUCGGGACUCGACGGCAGUGCAACACCACCACGAGAUGGAGGCAAACCGGCUACGACGGCAUAGGACAGGUGCGGAGGCUGACAGCAGGGGACUUCGCGAUGGAUAGCGAGACUCGACAGCGAACGACAAGGUCGACGACGCGACGAAAUUAAGGUCGAGCGAGCUGAGAUGGCGCGCAGCGAGCAGGAAAAAGACUCGACGCGGGAGUUUGACGCGCACGCGAAGCUAUCACCAGCGACAACACGACGAUGGCGAUAUGAGAGAACGCGAAUCGGCGCGGGCCAAACACCGGACAACCAUGCCAGCGACUUGGGCGAGAUCCAAACUAGAGCAGCAGCACAC